UACGGAGGAUCCAAGCGUUAUCCGGAUUUAUUGGGUUUAAAGGGUGCGUAGGCGGCCUGUUAAGUCAGGGGUGAAAGACGGUAGCUCAACUAUCGCAGUGCCCUUGAUACUGAUGGGCUUGAAUGGACUAGAGGCAGGCGGAAUGAGACAAGUAGCGGUGAAAUGCAUAGAUAUGUCUCAGAACACCGAUUGCGAAGGCAGCUUGCUAUGGUUUUAUUGACGCUGAGGCACGAAAGCGUGGGGAUCAAACAGG
rnacentral:rRNA from 1 species